rnacentral:rRNA from 1 species
AGUGAACGCUGGCGGUAGGCCUAACGCAUGCAAGUCGAACGGCAGCACAGUAAGAGCUUGCUCUUACGGGUGGCGAGUGGCGGACGGGUGAGGAAUACAUCGGAAUCUACUUUUUCGUGGGGGAUAACGUAGGGAAACUUACGCUAAUACCGCAUACGACCUACGGGUGAAAGCAGGGGAUCUUCGGACCUUGCGCGAUUGAAUGAGCCGAUGUCGGAUUAGCUAGUUGGCGGGGGAAAGGCCCACCAAGGCGACGAUCCGUAGCUGGUCUGAGAGGAUGAUCAGCCACACGGGAAGAGAGACACGGUCCAGACUCCGACGGGAGGCAGCAGUGGGGAAUAUUGGACAAUGGGCGCAAGGCUGAUCCAGCCAUACCGCGUGAGUGAAGAAGGCCUUCGGGUUGUAAAGCCCUUUUGUUGGGAAAGAAAAACAGCAGGUUAAUACCCCGCGGUUCUGACGGUACCCAAAGAAUAAGCACCGGCUAACUUCGUG